UACGAAGGGGGGCUAGCGUUGCUCGGAAUCACUGGGCGUAAAAGGGUGCGUAGGCGGGUCUUUUAAGUCAGGGGUGAAAUCCUGGAGCUCAACUCCAGAACUGCCUUUGAUACUGAGGAUCUUGAGUUCGGGAGAGGUGGGUGGAACUGCGAGUGUAGAGGUGAAAUUCGUAGAUAUUCGCAAGAACACCAGUGGCGAAGGCGGCUCACUGGCCCGAUACUGACGCUGAGGCACGAAAGCGUGGGGAGCAAACAGG
rnacentral:rRNA from 1 species